rnacentral:misc_RNA from 1 species
UCUCCGUUGGUGAACCAGCGGAGGGAUCAUUACAGGACUCGCAAGACUCCUACAACCCUGUGAACUUAACUAUAAGCACGUUGCUUCGGCGGGUGUCUCUGAGUGGGUGCUCCCUCCCCGAGACGCUAAACCCGCCGGCAGCCUACUAUACUCUGUCUCUUUGCGUUGGCAUCUCGAGUACAAUCAAACAAGUUAAAACUUUCAACAACGGAUCUCUUGGUUCUG